GUGGUUCACCAUAUACAUAAUUGAUGUUCUGAUGUCUGUUUACGUUGCAUAUACUCUGUAAUAAAUUAUUGUAGGCCAAGUAGUUAAUAUAAUUUAUGUAGCUCAAGAGAAAUUUGUGCUUUGCAGUUUUGUAAACUGUUUAGAAUUGAAUUAACAUUUGAGGAUGAUAAGAUUUUUUAUUUUUUUUAAACAAGUUGCAUAUGUUCACCAAGGCUGCAUUUAAUCAAACGUACAGUAAAACAGUAUUGCUGUGAAAUAUUAUUACAAUUUAUAUCACUUCUGUUUUAAUAUAUUUAAUAAUUUAAUUUAUUCCUAUGAUUUCAAAGCUGGCUUUUCAGCAAUCUUCAGUAAUACAUUUUUUUUCUUUGAUGAAUAGAAAUGUCAAAACAACAACAUUAAUUUGAAAUGGGGAUCUUUUAUAACAUUAAAAAUGAAUGAUCAAAAUAAAUAAAAAAAUAAUCAAAUUUAAUGCAUCCUUGCUCAAUACAAAGUAUUUCUUGCUUUAAAAACUUUACUGAAUCCAAACAUUUAAGUGUAGUGUAUAUGAAAAUAGUUGUCAUAUUGUCACAGGUCGGAGCGGACCACAGGUGUUGCGAGUCACGCCCCUUCCCGACUUCCACCUCGAGGAGGUCCCAAGAUCACCCCAAGGACCAGACACACAAGAUAAGUUAAGGGAGGGAACUGAGCCUGAGAACUCUGGAGGUCUUUGGUAAGUAAUCACAAGGGGAGGGGGGGGCAAAGGGCUCUUUCGUCCUUUCCCAGAACUUCUACCAGUCUCCUGACUAAUCCUAAGUCCUUCCUUAGCGGCUUGAUUUCCCGUGGCGCCCUUCUCUUCUCCUGAAGGCAACAGAACACACAAUGAGUAAUAGAUAAAACGGAGAAGAAUGCCUUGUUCCUAGCUUCUUUGCUCUUUGGGUUGCACUUCACCAGCGUCUGGACAGCUCCUCCACUCCCAUUGACCUCCUAGGUAAGUAUAAGGCGACACACAAAUCCCUGAGGGCACAGGUAAGUAACAACGGUAAGGAUGUAGCAAGGUAAGUAUUCAACAAGUGACUGUAUCUUCACGCUGGGCUUUACAGGGCGUAUUCAAGGACAAUAGCUUUUAGCUCGUACAGACAGGUAAGUAUUCAACAAGUGACUGUAUCUUCACGCUGGGCUUUUCAGGGCGUAUUCAAGGGCAAUAGCUUUUAGCUCGUACAGACAGGUAAGUAUUCAACAAGUGACUGUAUCUUCACGCUGGGCUUUACAGGGCGUAUUCAAGGACAAUAGCUUUUCCCACAAUAUCCGCACAAUACCUUGUUUUGCUUUCGCACUUCACCUUCAAGCUGGGUCCAGAGAACGGAGUUAUAGGCGGGCGUAGGUGGAAUAGGUGGGCACCGCCACGGCAGCCUACGUUCUUUCCAACAGGAACCUUUCUCGGCCUGGAGGGCAAGUACAGACAACAGGGACACGGCACAGCACUGCAAAGCUUUAGUGCACACACGUCAAAGACAGACUCACCCACUGCACUACACACACUUCAGUGAUUUUUAAGGUCGGUACUCCACACCCGGUCGGAUUUCGUCCUGGAGGAAUUUGCAGUCGCUGUCACGGUAAGUGUUCCAAACUUUACGGUGUGGCCACAGCCAAAUAACAUCCAUUCACCCACGCUCUACUUCGGCUCACCCACUCGUCUCGUCCUCCAACGAUGGGGCCGCUCAACAAGCUGUUAAUCACUCCAACAGGUAUUGGUUAUCCACAUCCAAGUAUGAGCAAGGAAUAUGUAAACAAUCCAAUGUACUCACAAUCUUCGUGAUACUGGUCCUCUCCCGCUCUCUUUCUCAUCCAGAUAUACACAACAAUCUAAGCAAUCCAAUGUACUCACAGUCUUCGUAAUACUGGUCUCCUCCCGCUCUCUUUCUCUCCCCAGCUUCGUGCAGACGCCCAGAAAGGUCGUCGUUGUUCCACAAUGUCACUAUUUCUCUACGGCACCUUCGUACAACAGACACGAGUGAGUACGACUUCUCUCCAUCAACUUCACUUUGGCAAACCUGUUCCAGUGGCCGUUUUCAAAUCCUCCAAUUCGCUUAGCGACUCCACAAUUACUCUCAUCUGCUUCGCCCUACUCCAGCGCCCAAACACUCCGUCCCACUCGUGGCGUUCCUUGGGAGGCCAAAAACAACACACCUUCCUGUAUCCUCGAUGCCCUCUUUAUACCCAUGAACUGCCCUGUCUGCAAUCGCCACAUCAUUGGACACACCUGCUGCAGAUUUCCCUUGAUUUGGAGCGUUCGGGGUUUUCCCGGAAGUGACAAGGGCUUACACAUUUCCGGUCCGGGCGGAACUUCUCCUCUCACUUUGGUUCCGCCCUCAAAGUCACUUCGUGACAAUAUACU
ensembl:lncRNA